rnacentral:lncRNA from 1 species
CAUCCUGCAGCCUCAGCUUCUGCUCCUUGCUUUUUGUCCUUGGUGGUCAUAUCUGGGGUGGGCUUUGGAAAGGUUGAUCUUUCUGGGGGCUGUGCCCUUUAUUCGCUCUCUUCCUGCUGGUGCAGUUUUGAGGGCCUGGGAGUUGCUUAGGGGUUGAAUGAUUACUGGCUUUUGAGGGUAAGCUUGUGAUUUAUUUGGAUAGAAUUCCCUUAAUAAUUUAGUAGAUUUCCUGUUUAUUUGCUUCCCAUCAGUUGCAUGUGUAAGUAACUACUGCCAAAGAUCUUGUUUCCAUAUAGUUUCCAAACCGAACUCUGUGCUCUAUGCAACCCUCCUCUCAAUAGUGACCUUGAAGUUGUCUAAAACAACAGGCUUUGGGGAUAAUCCUGGGUAAUCUUACCAUUCCUACCAGGCUAGAACAUGUCAUCUGCUAGGGAUCCCGUAAUGAAAGAUUUUUGAGCAGAGAUUUGGGACCAAAGUUUUAUAUCUUGCUAAUUCCAGGACUUCAAGUCAUUACUUAAAACUGCUUCAGUUUGGAGUUUAGGAGAAAUUGGUUUUUGUUUGUUUGUUUGUUUGUUUUUAGCCCUGUAAGGGUUACUAAACUCUCAGUCUACUAAAAUUGAAGACUACAAGCAGAAAAUGUUCCUCCUGGAGAAGCUGUAUUCCCUUCCAAGGGCUUGCAGCCCAUCCCAUUGUAAACUGGCGGUCAUCUGUCUCUUGUGGGUGUUGUUAAGACUGGUAAUGGCAGCCAACACACCCACAUUCUGACUGUUUCUGACCAUUUUCCCUAAUUCCUUCUCUACUUAUUGAGUGCGCUAUUUCCUUUCUUUUCUUUUCAUUUUCUUUGAAUCCCUCAACAGUGUCCAUGUCUUAUAUUUGUCCCCUUCCUUUCCACAGUCAUCCUCUCAGCUCUUAAUCUGGGUGUCUGGUUACCAGUUCAGAAGCCGAAUAACGAGAUAGGCACUGCCACUCCUUAUGCCUAGAGGCAGGGGUGGGGAGGAGGAGAAUGACUGUUUUGUGGAAACCCCCAACUCAGAACCGCACAGAUGCCCUGCAGUUCCACCUCUGCAUGGUAGCCAAAGAGAGUCCUCUAAAUGAAGCAAUCUCUUUGAGCCUCUCAGCAUCCCCGCACUUCCAGCAUCACUCAACCCAGAAACAAUAGAAUCUACAAGGGGACUCCCUACAUGUUUCUUAUGAGGUCAGAAUUGCCAUCCUGGAAAGGUGAGUUACAGUGCUGCCCAGGUGAUUCUUGUGUGUUACUCUAUGUUAUAUCUAUUGUAUAAUCUCACAUUUAAAUAGCACCAUUCCUUUUAUUGCAAUGCUUAUGAAAACUUUCCUUGUUUUUAGGUUUCCUUCGUCAGUCCAGGCAGGACUGUGCGGUUGGAAAAGGGACGGAUGCUGGUCCUGGAAGGGGCGUCGUUAUCUAGAAGCUCCCAACCUAAGUGGGUGACUCAUAGGGAGGGCAAGGAGAGAAGGACACAGCAAGCAACUUACAUGUAAAACAAGACGUGUGGGUUAUUAUGGAAGAAAUUCACAACCAAACUUGGGGUUAGCCCGUAUUGUUUUCCAAGAACUCUAUGUGGACAGUGACAAAAAACAGACCUAAGAACUAGCAGACUGGGCAAAGCUUUUUCACAUAACAACAACAAAAAAAGCAAUUCCUCAGGAAAAAAUGGUCAAUGGGUCAUUGUGUGUAGACAAAACUACAAGUUCUGCUCCAGACUCUGGGGAAACCAUGCUGCCAUCUUCAAGCUGUGGCCAUUCUGUAAUACAGACUACGCUAAAUCACAUGUUGUCAUCAAGGCAGAAUAUUUUGUUCCUUUAUGGGUCAGCCUGGGAUACAAAAUUAGAGAAACUUUGCAAUGAAAAAUCCCUUGUGUCUCAUUGAACUUUUUCCUUAAUUCAAACCUUUCCUUUCACAGUUUUGAUUAGUGCCUUUGCCCAUGUGGACAAUAUUUUAUGAUCAGGUUUUAAGAGUAAUCCAUCCAUGGCUGCUUGGCUGCCUGGAACUUAAAACAACGACAACAACAAUGUCCAGAUAAACCCAAUAAAAU